CAGCGGCAAAUUGAGGAUCUAAACAUGGCAUGGAGCAUCAGACCAAAUGCAACAAUGAGCAAUUACAGCAAUUUUAGGAUGAUUGUAAUUGAAAUGGCGGAAAAAUCAUAAAUACAAGCACUAGUAUUAUGAUUAAAUGGUUUAUCACUUUUGACCAACAGGUGGCGCUGUAAUCAAAUGAUUUGGGUGUGUUCUGUGUGAGGUGACAAUGUUACACACAAAGUUUGGUGUCAGUAUGCCAAAGCAUUGCAGAGAUACAGGCUGAAGUGUCAUUUUGGCAUCAUGCCUGAAAUUCGUCGCUGUGGUAUGCGAAAACGGUUUUGUCUAUCGAUACAAAAUCCAUAAUAUUUUGUCAGCACAGUCUGAAGAUCAUCUGAUUCAAUUUUGGUGAAAAUCGGACCAACGGUUGAUGAGGAGUUCGAAAAAGUAGGUUUUCAACAUAAAUCAAAAUGGCGGACAGGAAGUUCAGCGUACUCUGGCAUAUUUGGUAUCUAUGUUGUCGGCCUAAGCCAAGGAAUAUUUUGAGACCAGUUUUAUUACAAUAGGCUAAUGCAAUAAAAAGUUAUUAGCAUUUUUAUAAAUGUAAUUAUUAAUGAUUAAUGAAUGGUUUAUUACUCUUGACCAAUAGGUGGCGCUGUUACCAAAUUGAUGUGGCAUGGUCAGUGUGAGGUGACAAUGGCACAUCCAAAGUUUGGUGAAAAAAUGGCAAAGCUUUGCAGAGAUACAGCCUCAGAUGUAUUUUGGCAUCUUACGAACAAAUUUGUUGAUGCGCUAAAUGAAAACUGUUUCGUAUAUCGACACGAAAUCCAUAACUUUUUGUCAGCACACUCUGAAGAUGAUCCGAGUCAAAUUUGGUGAAAAUCGGACUAACGGUCUAGGAGGAGUUCGAAAAAGUAGGUUUUCAACUUUAAUCAAAAUGGCGGACAGGAAGUAUGGCCAAUUUUGGCAUAAUUGGUAUCGAUGUUCUCGACAUGAUUCAAAGAAUAUAUGGAGACUAUUUUCAUUUCAAUAAUCUAAUUUAUUCAAAAGUUAUUAGCAUUUUUUAGAUAUUUCAUUAUAACUUUUGACCACAAGGUGGCGCUGCCACCAAACUUUUUGAGUAGCUUCAGGGCAUGGAGCCAAACAUUUUUGUAAUUAUUUUCGUAGCGAUACGAUAAUGCGUUCAAAAAAUACAGCAUUUUGAAACAUAAUUCAAAAUGGCCGACACCUAAAAUGGCCGACACGGGAAAAUUGGAUAUCAU
ensembl:lncRNA